rfam:Stentor coeruleus isolate WM001 SteCoe_contig_192, whole genome shotgun sequence.
GGCCUCGUGGCGCAAUGGAUAGCGCAUCUGACUUCGAAUCAGAAGGUUGUGGGUUCGAGUCCCAUCGCGGUCA